CGUGAUUACCCGCUGAACUUAAGCAUAUCACUAAGCGGAGGAAAAUAAACUUACGAGGAUUCCCCUUGUUACGGCGAGUGAAGAGGGAAUAGCCCAGCACCGAAGCCUGCGUUAAGUUUUCUGCUAGGCAAAGUGGUGUUUGGGUCGACUUGCGGGAUCUCCACCCCACUCGAAUUCCAUCACUGAGAGUGGUUCCCUGGAUUUGGCCCAGAGAUGGUGAAAGGCCAGGGCAAGCGGAGGUUCACACAUGUGAGGCAAUACACCAGGUCGACCUUCGAGUCGGGUUGUUUGGGAAUGCUGCCCAAAGCGGAUGGUAUACGCCAUCCGAUAGGAAACAAGAACCGUGAGGGAAAGUUGAAAAGUACUUUGAAGAGAGAGUAAACAGUACGUGAAACCGCAUAGAGGUAAACGGGUGGCGUCAAGCUGCAAGCCUAGAGGAUUCAGUUGGUCGGUGUGUAUGCGCGCCUGGCGCGUCUGUCGGACGGUCAGUCCACUGCGAAGUAGUGGGCCUGGUCUUCCCUCGGGAGGGGCAGGAUCGGUGUUCCGGGAGGUUGCCGGAGCCGGCUGUUUUGUCUGUCUGCGCAUAGUGUGGAUGGACCGGCCAAUGCACUUCCUCUAUCUGGUGAGCACCACGACCGCUGGAACUGCCAGUCUGCCGUUGUCAAGUCGGGUUUGGUCGGUGGCUCCUUUUGUGGUCGUCGGCUGAGCUUUUAUCAUCACGGGCGAAUUAAGUGAGCGGAUGUGUAGGCAUUCGCAUGCACACGUGUUACCGAGCACAGGUCGUCAACGGGUCUGUCUGUCGGUUGUGUGCAGUCGCCGGUGGAUGUCCUGGUGGGCAACGGUUGUAUGAAUUUUUUUGCAGGGCACCAGGGUUGUCGGUUUCUAGGAUCUGUUUCGUGCGCACACUGCAUGUGGGCGUGGGGUGUUGGUGUUGGCUGCCUAUUGCUGGGUCUGAAGGUGGUCUGAUGUUGGGUGGUUUUACAUUUGUCGCCUCCUGUGCGAGUUGGCGUUGGCCAAACAGUAUGUGGUGUUGUGGUAGACGAGCUAAACGACCCGUCUUGAAACAUGGACGAAGGAGUGUAUCAUGCACGCGAGUCAAUAGGUCCCGCGAAUCCCAAAGAAACUGUGAAAAUGAAGUCUUGACUUGUUCUCGGAAUGUUGUGAGAUGCGACUUUUUCUCGCACCUCGCCUUUCGAGUACAGCACCAGGCAGAAGAGCAGUGGUCGCAUCACAAGCUCGUCCCAUGGUGUGGUUGUUUGAAAGACGUGGAUAAUUAUGCGGUCUGCGUUGGAGAAGGCACGUCAUCCUGGCAGAGCAGGAGCGAGCCCGAUAAGAUUUGCAAUUUGGUGAAUUAUGCUUGCGUAGGUUUAAUCCAGAGGAAACUCUGGUUUAGGACCGCAGCGAUUCUGACGUGCAAAUCGAUCGUCAAACGUGAGUAAACGGGCAAAAGACUUAUCGAACCAUCGUGUAGCUGGUUUUCUCUGAAGUUUUCCUCAGGAUAGCUUGCACGCAUUCGCAAGAUCAGUUUUAUCCGAAUAAGCGAAGGAUUAGAGGUAAUGAGUUCGAAAGGAGCUCAAACUAUUCUCAAACUUUAAAUAAGUGAGAUGCCCGGCAUGCUUUGUAGGAGUAGGGCAAUGAAUGUGCAAGUGCCGAGUGGGUCAUUUUUGGUGAGCAGAACUGGCGCUGUGAGAUGAACAUAACGCCCGGUUAAGGUGCUUGAUGCUGACACUCGUGAGAUACCAUAAAAGGUGUUGGUUAAUAUAGACAGCAGGACGGUGGCCAUCGAAGUCGGCAUCCACAUAGGAGUGGGUAACAAAUCACCUGCCGAGUUGACAAGCCCUAAAAAUGGAUGGCGCUGGAGCGUAGGACAUAUACCGGGCCGUCACCGCAAGCUGGAUCGGUGGCUGUUUAUGGCUGUGCGAGCAGCACAUAGCCGGUUGCGUGAACGACAAUCGAUUGCUGUCUUGCGAAAACAUGAUCCAAGCAAGGAGGCGGUGGCGAGUAGGAUUGUCGCUUUGUUAAGCAUGAAAGCCUUGGACGUGAGUCUGGGUGGAGCCACCACGGGUUCAGAUCUUGGUGGUUGUAGCAAAUAUUCAAGUGAGAACCUUAAAUGCCGAGGUGCAGAAGGGUUCCAUGGGAACAGCAUUUGGCCAUGUUUCAGGCGGUCCUUUGCAAUCCGCUGUCUCGGUACAGAGACGUGGGGUGCCUUGCAUACUUCUAUCUGUGUGUGUGUGUGUGCGCGCGUGCAGCCGGCAGCCCCCCGGAGCGAAAGGGAAUCGGGUUAAUAUUCCCGACCCUGCCCACGGAGAUAGGCAAGCGUUUGGCUGGGCCGUCAGUGUGCGCGCUUUUUCGGCGUGUGCAGCUGUGGUCUGUGUCUGGGCGCUGCUAAGCGCGGUAACGCAACCGAACUCGGAGACAUCGGCUAGAGUUUCGGGAGGAGUUAACUUUUCUUUAAAAUGAGUGAUCAACACCCAUGGAAUCGGGUUGUCCGGAUAUAGGGGUAUCACCUCCGAAAAGCACCACCCCUCUUCUUGUGUCGAGAACACUUUGGUCAGUCCUUGAAAAUUCGAGGGAGGCAUUAUGUUUUUCGUGGCAGGCCGUACCCAUAUCCGCAUCAGGUCUCCAAGGUGAACAGCCUCUGGCAAUAGAAUAAUGUAGGUAAGGGAAGUCGGCAUAUUUGAUCCGUAACCUCGGAAAAAGGAUUGGCUCUGAGGGCCGAGUCAGACACGCUGGGCAAAGAAACGUGUCUGCUCAAGCUGCGGCUGGCUAGUCGGCUAGCUGGACUGUGGCUGCAACUGCUGCUGCUGGGUUAACGCCGCUGCUUCCGUUGUGUGCGUGUGU
rnacentral:ncRNA from 1 species